rnacentral:precursor_RNA from 15 species
AAUCGACUCUAUAUACAGGGUGCUAUGUUGUCUUUGGUUAUCUAGCUGUAUGAGUGAUAAAUAACGUCAUAAAGCUAGCUUACCGAAGUUAAUAUUAGCGUCUGCCCAGCGAGACAGCCAA